rnacentral:tRNA from 1 species
GCUGUGGUGGCCUGAGGGGUGAAGGUGGUGGACUCAAAAUUCAAUAGGGUUUUCCCUGCACAGGUUUGAAUCCUGUUCACAGCA